CCUACGGGAGACUGCAGUGGGGGAUAUUGCACAAUGGGGGGAACCCUGAUGCAGCGACGCCGCGUGGGUGAAGGAGUGCUUCGGCAUGUAAAGCCCUAUCGGCAGGGAAGAAGCAAGACGGUACCUGACUAAGAACCCCCGGCUAACUACGUCCCAGCAGCCGCGGUAAUACGUAGGGGGCGAGCGUUAUCCGGAUUCACUGGGUGUAAAGGGAGCGUAGACGGCGAUGCAAGCCAGGGGUGAAAGCCCGGGGCCCAACCCCGGGACUGCCCUUGGAACUGUGCGGCUAGAGUGCGGGAGGGGCAGGCGGAAUUCCUGGUGUAGCGGUGAAAUGCGUAGAUAUCAGGAGGAACACCGGCGGCGAAGGCGGCCUGCUGGACCGCGACUGACGUUGAGGCUCGAAAGCGUGGGGAGCGAACAGGAUUAGAUACCCCUGUAGUC
rnacentral:rRNA from 1 species